rnacentral:rRNA from 1 species
GUGGCGAACGGGUGAGUAACACGUGGGCAAUCUGCCCUUCACUCUGGGACAAGCCCUGGAAACGGGGUCUAAUACCGGAUAACACUCUGUCCCGCAUGGGACGGGGUUAAAAGCUCCGGCGGUGAAGGAUGAGCCCGCGGCCUAUCAGCUUGUUGGUGGGGUAAUGGCCUACCAAGGCGACGACGGGUAGCCGGCCUGAGAGGGCGACCGGCCACACUGGGACUGAGACACGGCCCAGACUCCUACGGGAGGCAGCAGUGGGGAAUAUUGCACAAUGGGCGAAAGCCUGAUGCAGCGACGCCGCGUGAGGGAUGACGGCCUUCGGGUUGUAAACCUCUUUCAGCAGGGAAGAAGCGAAAGUGACGGUACCUGCAGAAGAAGCGCCGGCUAACUACGUGCCAGCAGCCGCGGUAAUACGUAGGGCGCAAGCGUUGUCCGGAAUUAUUGGGCGUAAAGAGCUCGUAGGCGGCUUGUCACGUCGGAUGUGAAAGCCCGGGGCUUAACCCCGGGUCUGCAUUCGAUACGG